rnacentral:rRNA from 1 species
UAGGGAAUCUUCGGCAAUGGGGGCAACCCUGACCGAGCAACGCCGCGUGAGUGAAGAAGGUUUUCGGAUCGUAAAGCUCUGUUGUAAGAGAAGAACGUGUGUGAGAGUGGAAAGUUCACACAGUGACGGUAACUUACCAGAAAGGGACGGCUAACUACGUGCCAGCAGCCGCGGUAAUACGUAGGUCCCGAGCGUUUGCCGGAUUUAUUGGGCGUAAAGAGAGCGCAGGCGGUUUAAUAAGUCUGAAGUUAAAGGCAGUGGCUUAACCAUUGUUCGCUUUGGAAACUGUUAAACUUGAGUGCAGAAGGGGAGAGUGGAAUUCCAUGUGUAGCGGUGAAAUGCGUAGAUAUAUGGAGGAACACCGGUGGCGAAAGCGGCUCUCUGGUCUGUAACUGACGCUGAGGCUCGAAAGCGUGGGGAGCAAACAGG